AAUCCACGCAAUCAGGGAUUGCAAGCACUCUCAGUGGCUUUUGAUCUAAUUUGCAGUGGAAGAGUAUUCUGGCUUGUUUAUUGAAGGGUCUUUUAUAUAUUGGCUCUGUUACGGUGCAAACCAAACAAUUUU
rnacentral:snoRNA from 1 species